UACGUAGGGUGCGAGCGUUGUCCGGGAUUAUUGGGCGUAAAGAGCUCGUAGGCGGUCUGUCGCGUCGGUCGUGAAAACUUGGGGCUUAACCCUGAGCUUGCGGUCGAUACGGGCAUGACUGGAGUUCGGUAGGGGAGACUGGAAUUCCUGGUGUAGCGGUGAAAUGCGCAGAUAUCAGGAGGAACACCGGUGGCGAAGGCGGGUCUCUGGGCCGAUACUGACGCUGAGGAGCGAAAGCGUGGGGAGCGAACAGG
rnacentral:rRNA from 1 species